UGGGGCGUCGCCAAGCGGUAAGGCAGCGGCCUUUGGAGCCGUUAUUCGAAGGUUCGAAUCCUUCCGCCCCAGCCA
rnacentral:tRNA from 1 species